rnacentral:lncRNA from 1 species
GGAGGAGUAGGAGAGGAAGAAAGAGGGAAAUUCAAUCCACCCCCAUGGCCACUUGAUAUGAAUAAUUUCUCUCAACUUGGCCUUGUUUUAAAUGAGAAAUUUUGAGGUAGAGGUUUUGUGAGUCUCUUGCAGUGAUUUGGUGUCAUGCAGAUACACCAACACAUAUGCACACACACACCCCAUUUUGCUUAAUCUUUUUGUUAUUUAAUUUUGAUUUUUCUGUCUUGAAACUUUUUUCCAGAUUUUGCUGAAUGCUUUUUUGAGCAUUUAAUGAAAUUUCAGAAAAUGGAAAAUUGAUGUGUGAGAGAGAGAAAGGCCUACGGCACUGUGGACCCAAUCCUUAGACACAUAACGACAUGAAAUGUGUGUAAGCAACAUGAAAUGAAAC